CAGAGCACUACAGUGACUUGCACAGGCCAAGAUGUCUCAAGUUGUACAUUCAAACAGAAGUGAUGGGUGACAGGCUUUUACUAGCAACUUGUGAAGAAAAAUCAGGUAGCUAGAGCAGAGACCAGAUGCUGUGAUUGAUGCAAACAGAGAUAGACGUUUUACAACUGAAAUGAUAGACUCUGAUAUUUGCAUGUAUUGUUUUGUAUGAUGAACUUUGUCCGUGCAAGUGGCUAUGCCCGUAAAAGAGGCACACUUUU
rnacentral:lncRNA from 1 species